rnacentral:lncRNA from 1 species
UGAUAGGAGCAUAUUUAUGCGACUUAGUAUGUUUGUUUUCGUGCAUUUAUGUUCUUAGUUCUUAGUUAUGUUAGUAGUUUAAGCCAUUUUUUGUGUGUUUGUAGGUUCUAUGGGCCAAGGAUGCAAGAAGAUGCAUUUUGGAGCACUUUGGAGCAUUUUUGGGCUAAGAUUGGAUGGUGCAAACAUGGAGACAUGAGGAUGGACGAAUUUGAUGUUUCAAUGGGCUAGAAAUCUACAUGUGUGUGUGCAAAGUGUUGGCCUACAACUUCAAACAUCAUAGCUGCCAUGUGAUGGCAGAAAAUGUGUUUAUUGCUAGCUAAAUGGAUGAAGAACAUGCAUGUGCAAGUAUAAAACACACAUGGGCAGCAAGAAGGAAAGAAAACAGCAACACACACACACACAUGGGCAGCAAGGAAUCAGAAAUUAAAGCAUGGAAGAGUGGGAAGUGAUGAUGACAAACACAAACACACACACACGGCAAUGGAAUGGAGUUGGCAGAUUUCUACAACUUUGAUCAGCUGACUUUGGGAGCAAAUUGCGAACAGCUCAGAAUGAAUUAGAGAAUGAGCCUUAUAUGUUUGGAAAGCUACAGAUGUCUAUUUUCUAGAACAUUUCGCGGAUUGUUAAUAUCAUUUUCUAGAAGAAGUUAUAGGCAUUUGAGUAAGGGAAGGUCUAGCUGACGACAACUUGCAGAUUGGAAUUGCAAGCAAACAAAAGAAAAGAAAUAAAACAAGGGGAGUGAAUGGACAGCAGAAAAGCAAGGAAAUUGGACCACUAUGAAGUGAUUUCUUGUUGGUCUCCCACUUAUAGCUUUGGGUGGCUUUGGCAUGAUUAUUUCUAGGUGGAAAAGAGCACAAAGACAGCACACACACACAAGGCAAAAAAAAGCUGGCAGCAUCUUCCUUCAUUGCCGUAGGUUUUUUUUCCCUUGUCCAUUACCUUGCAAUUGCUUGACAUUUCCAACCUCUAUAUAAGCACCAUUCAGCCUUCAAGGAUGACACACAGCCAUUCAUACACAUUUCCAUUAGUUCCAAGGCUUGCAAAGAAGGAGGAGUGCUUGGAGUUGUGCUAGCCAUUCCAUUGGAGUUGUUGGAGCAUUCUAGGUGUCUUCUACUUUGUUUCUCUAUGUUUAAUAUCAAUUGUUUUUGUUUAAUUGCAAGUAUGAGGAACUAAACCCUUACUUAGCUAGGGUGAAGUUCGAAGCCAUGAACAUGUUUGAGAUAUGAAUUGAUUUCUUCCAAUUGUGAUUUAAUAAGUUGUGAAUGC